AUUGAACGCUGGCGGCAGGCCUAACACAUGCAAGUAGAACGAGCGGCGGACGGGUGAGUAAUUUCCGGGAAACUGCCUGAUGGAGGGGGAUAACUACUGGAAACGGUAGCUAAUACCGCAUACCAUCAGAUGUGCCCAGAGGGGAGUAGCUUGUUGGUGGGGUAACGGCUCACCAAGGCGACGAUCCCUAGCUGGUCUGAGAGGACGACCAGCCACCCUAGAGCUGAGACACGGUCCAUACUCCUACGGGAGGCAGCAGAGGGGAAUAUUGCACAAUGGGCGCAAGCCUGAUGCAGCCAUGCCGCUUGUAUGAAGAAGGCAUUCGGUUUGUAAUGUACUUUCAGCGGGGAGGCGUUACCCGCAGAAGAAGCACCGGCUAACUCCGUACCAGCAGCCGCGGUAAUAC
rnacentral:rRNA from 1 species